GAUGAACGCUAGCUACAGGCCUAACACAUGCAAGUCGAGGGACGGGCGCACGGGUGAGUAACACGUACACAACCUGCCCUUUACUCGGGGAUAGCCUUUCGAAAGAAAGACUAAUACCCGAUAUAAAGGAUGGGGAUGCGUUACAUUAGGUUGUGGGUGAGGUAACGGCCCACCAAGCCUUCGAUGGAUAGGGGUUCUGAGAGUAAGCUCCCCCAGAACGGAGCUAAGGCCCGGACCAAACUCCGACGCGGGACUGCAGUGUGGUAUAUUAGUCACUGGACGUUGACCUGGCCCAGCCAAGUGGCGUAAGGGGUGAAGGCUUAUUAAUCGUCUGCUUCUUUUAAAUAAGAAUAUGUAUUCUAUGAAUAAGGAUCGGCUAACUCCGUGCCAGCAGCCGCGGUAAUUC
rnacentral:rRNA from 1 species